rnacentral:rRNA from 1 species
CAAUAGCGUAUAUUAAAGUUGUUGCAGUUAAAAAGCUCGUAGUUGAAUUUCUGGUGGGCGCGCCGGUCUUCCAAGUGUUGUACUGGGCGCAGUCCGCCAUCCUUGUGGAGAGGGCUCGCAUUGAGUUGCGUGUCGGAUCUGCAUCAUUUACUGUGAAAAAAUUAGAGUGUUUAAAGCAGGCUGUCGCUUGAAUACAUUAGCAUGGAAUAAUAAGAUAGGACUUGGGUCUAUUUUGUUGGUUGCGAACCGAGGUAAUGAUUAAUAGGGAUAGUUGGGGGUAUUCAUAUUUAAUUGUCAGAGGUGAAAUUCUUGGAUUUAUGAAAGAUGAACAACUGCGAAAGCAUUUACCAAGGAUGUUUUCAUUAA